rnacentral:rRNA from 1 species
CCUACGGGUGGCAGCAGUGGGGGAUAUUGCACAAUGGGGGAAACCCUGAUGCAGCGACGCCGCGUGGGUGAAGAAGCGCCUCGGCGCGUAAAGCCCUGUCAGCAGGGAAGAAAAUGACGGUACCUGAAGAAGAAGCCCCGGCUAACUACGUGCCAGCCGCCGCGGUAAUACGUAGGGGGCAAGCGUUAUCCGGAUUUACUGGGUGUAAAGGGGGCGCAGACGGCGAUGCAAGCCAGGAGUGAAAGCCCGGGGCCCAACCCCGGGACGGCUCUUGGAACUGCGUGGCUAGAGUGCAGGAGGGGCAGGCGGAAUUCCUGGGGUAGCGGUGAAAUGCGUAGAGAUCAGGAGGAACACCGGUGGCGAAGGCGGCCUGCGGGACUGCAACUGACGUUGAGGCACGAAAGCGUGGGGAGCAAACAGGAUGAGAUACCCGAGUAGUC